CUUUUUUCCCCUCUCGGAUGACGUGACCGGCCUUCCUUUCCCCACCGACCCCCCGCCCCCCCAUACGUGGAGAGGCCUAUGCACGUCCCUUCCCCUUGGUCCGCCGCCCCGCUCUCCCCUUAGGUCUACGAGGUGGGGGUUUAAGUAGGCCUCGACUGAUGUCUUAAAGGAGACGACGCCGCCGGGAAGAAGGUUUCUUGUGUCAACUUCAAGGCUUGGAUCACCCGACCUUUGCUAGUCCUGAUGUAUGGAUCAUCGAGUAUAGACAACAGCAUGGAUUUUGAGAGCCCUGACGUCGAGAGAGAGUUUCCAGGCCUCUAUGGCUCAGAGUCCUCGAGGCGAAGCGACAGUGACUUGUAAGCACGUGACUGAGUGGCAGAGGUGAUAUGCUUGAUGGUCUAAUUUGCAUGUCACUCAUAAGCUAGAGCAGAUGGGGACAGUAGUGAACCUGACCAUCAUCAUGGGCAUCAUAUCAUCUAAUUUUGAAUAUAUACCUG